GAUCUGGAGAAUCCCGCCCGGUGCGGGUGCCGAAGGGGCAAGGCGCGUUGCGCUCAAUCUCUCAGGCAAAAGGACAGAGUGUGAA
rnacentral:ncRNA from 1 species